rnacentral:rRNA from 1 species
AUUGAACGCUGGCGGCAGGCUUAACACAUGCAAGUCGAACGAGUGGCGGACGGGUGAGUAAUGCUUGGGAAACUUGCUUAUGGAGGGGGAUAAAUACGGGAAACGGUAGCUAAUACCGCGUACCAUAGGAUGAGCCCAAGGGGGAUUAGGUAGUUGGUGGGGUAAAGGCUCACAAAGCCGACGAUCUCUAGCUGGUCUGAGAGGAGGACCGGCCACGCGGGGACUGAGACACGUCCCGGCCUCCUACGGUAGGCAGCGGUGGGGAAUAGUGCGCAAUGGGGGCAACCUGACGCAGCCAUGCCGCGGUAAGGAAGAGGGCCUUCGGGUUUUAAAGUUCUUUCGGUGGCGAGGCGUUAACGACAGAGGAAGCACCGGCUAACUCCGUGCCAGCAGCCGCGGUAAUUC